UACGAAGGGGGCUAGCGUUGCUCGGAAUCACUGGGCGUAAAGCGCACGUAGGCGGAUUGCUAAGUCAGGGGUGAAAUCCUGGAGCUCAACUCCAGAACUGCCCUUGAUACUGGCGGUCUCGAGUCCGGGAGAGGUGAGUGGAACUGCGAAUGUAGAGGUGAAAUUCGUAGAUAUUCGCAAGAACACCAGUGGCGAAGGCGGCUCACUGGCCCGGUACUGACGCUGAGGUGCGAAAGCGUGGGGAGCAAACAGG
rnacentral:rRNA from 1 species